rnacentral:rRNA from 1 species
CAAUAGACUACCCAGGUAGUCCACGCCGUAAACGAUGAGUGCUAAGUGUUGGGGGGUUUCCGCCCCUCAGUGCUGCAGCUAACGCAUUAAGCACUCCGCCUGGGGAGUACGGUCGCAAGACUGAAACUCAAAGGAAUUGACGGGGGCCCGCACAAGCGGUGGAGCAUGUGGUUUAAUUCGAAGCAACGCGAAGAACCUUACCAGGUCUUGACAUCCCGGUGACCACUAUGGAGACAUAGUUUCCCCUUCGGGGGCAACGGUGACAGGUGGUGCAUGGUUGUCGUCAGCUCGUGUCGUGAGAUGUUGGGUUAAGUCCCGCAACGAGCGCAACCCUUAUUCUUAGUUGCCAUCAUUCAGUUGGGCACUCUAAGGAGACUGCCGGUGAUAAACCGGAGGAAGGUGGGGAUGACGUCAAAUCAUCAUGCCCCUUAUGACCUGGGCUACACACGUGCUACAAUGGACGGUACAAACGGUUGCCAACCCGCGAGGGGGAGCUAAUCCGAUAAAACCGUUCUCAGUUCGGAUUGUAGGCUGCAACUCG